rnacentral:rRNA from 1 species
AUGAACGCUGGCGGCGUGCCUAAUACAUGCAAGUCGAACGAGGUGCUUUGUAGCAAUACGAGAGUAUCCUAGUGGCGAACGGGUGAGUAACGCGUUGGUGACCUACCCCAAAGUGUGGGAUAAACAGUCCGAAAGGACUGCUAAUACCGCAUGUGGUUAUUGGAUUUAGAAACCGGUAACUAAAGGAGCAAUUCGCUUUGGGAGGGACCUGCGUCCCAUCAGCUAGUUGGUGAGGUAAUGGCUCACCAAGGCGACGACGGGUAGGGGACCUGAGAGGGUGGCCCCCCACAAUGGAACUGAAACACGGUCCAUACACCUACGGGUGGCAGCAGUAGGGAAUAUUGCACAAUGGGCGAAAGCCUGAUGCAGCAACGCCGCGUGUGUGAUGAAGGCCUUCGGGUCGUAAAGCACUUUUCUGGGAGAUGAGAAAGGACAGUAUCCCAGGAAUAAGUCUCGGCUAACUACGUGCCAGCAGCCGCGGUAAAACGUAGGAGGCGAGCGUUAUCCGGAUUCACUGGGCGUAAAGCGCGUGCAGGUGGCGCGGUAAGUUGGGUGUGAAAUCUCCCGGCCUCAACUGGGAGAGGUCAUUCAAUACUACCGUGCUUGAGAGCAGAAGAGGAAGAUGGAAUUCCCGGUGUAGUGGUGAAAUGCGUAGAUAUCGGGAGGAACACCAGUGGCGAAGGCGAUCUUCUGGUCUGUUUCUGACACUCAGACGCGACAGCUAGGGUAGUAAACGGGAUUAGAGACCCCGGUAAUCCUAGCCGUAAACGAUGUGAACUUGGCGUUGGUGGGUUAAACUCCAUCAGUGCCGCAGCAACGCGAUAAGUUCACCGCCUGGGGACUACGGCCGCAAGGUUAAAACUCAAAGGAAUUGACGGGGGCCCGCACAAGCAGCGGAGCGUGUGGUUUAAUUCGAUGCUACACGAAGAACCUUACCCAGGCUUGACAUACAGGUGGUAGGGAUCCGAAAGGUGACCGACCCGCAAGGGAGCCUGAACAGGUGUUGCAUGGCUGUCGUCAGCUCGUGUCGUGAGAUGUUCGGUUAAGUCCGCUAACGAGCGCAACCCUCGCUGCGUGUUACAAGUGUCACGCAGGACCGCCGGUAUUAAGCCGGAGGAAGGUGGGGAUGACGUCAAGUCAGCAUGGCCUUUAUGCCUGGGGCUACACACACGCUACAAUGGGCAGUACAAUGGGUUGCUAAGCCGCGAGGUGGAGCCAAUCCCCCAAAACUGUCCUCAGUUCAGAUUGCAGGCUGCAACUCGCCUGCAUGAAGCCGGAGUUGCUAGUAAACGCGCGUCAGCUAUAGUGCGUUGAAUACGUUCUCGGGCCUUGUACACACCGCCCGUCACGUCAUGGGAGCUGGUAACACCUGAAGCCGGUAGCCUAACCGCAAGGAGGGCGCCGUCGAAGGUGGGGCUGGUGACUGGGACG